rnacentral:rRNA from 1 species
AUUGAACGCUGGCGGCAGGCUUAACACAUGCAAGUCGAGCGGGGUGAUGGUGCUUGCACUAUCACUUAGCGGCGGACGGGUGAGUAAUGCUUAGGAAUCUGCCUAUUAGUGGGGGACAACAUCUCGAAAGGGAUGCUAAUACCGCAUACGUCCUACGGGAGAAAGCAGGGGAUCACUUGUGACCUUGCGCUAAUAGAUGAGCCUAAGUCGGAUUAGCUAGUUGGUGGGGUAAAGGCCUACCAAGGCGACGAUCUGUAGCGGGUCUGAGAGGAUGAUCAGCCACACUGGGACUGAAACACGGCCCAGACUCCUACGGGAGGCAGCAGUGGGGAAUAUUGGACAAUGGGGGGAACCCUGAUCCAGCCAUGCCGCGUGUGUGAAGAAGGCCUUAUGGUUGUAAAGCACUUUAAGCGAGGAGGAGGCUCUUUUGGUUAAUACCCAAGAUGAGUGGACGUUACUCGCAGAAUAAGCACCGGCUAACUCUGUGCCAGCAGCCGCCGUAA